AACAAACAAAAAAAACCAAAAAACAACUUCACAGCAAGAAAGAUACAGAAUAUUUCCUGAGAAGUCAGAAGAACCUAAUGUAUUCUGGAAAGAAGUGCUGAAUCAGCGAAUAGAGUGAAGGAACAAUCAAGAGGAGAUGGCUGCUGAUGUGACUCUCUAGGUCAUUAUCUCUCUUCCUCCUGCAAAUGCUGCAUGGCACUAAGCUUACAGGAUCUAGAAGCAAACUACAAAUAAGAAGAAAUUCGCUCUGAAGACUAUGAAGAAACACUAGGCUGAUCUUACCAAUUUCUGAAA